rnacentral:rRNA from 3 species
AGAGUUUGAUCCUGGCUCAGAUUGAACGCUGGCGGCAUGCUUUACACAUGCAAGUCGGACGGCAGCACAGAGAAGCUUGCUUCUUGGGUGGCGAGUGGCGAACGGGUGAGUAAUAUAUCGGAACGUACCGAGUAAUGGGGGAUAACUAAUCGAAAGAUUAGCUAAUACCGCAUAUUCUCUGAGGAGGAAAGCAGGGGACCUUCGGGCCUUGCGUUAUUCGAGCGGCCGAUAUCUGAUUAGCUGGUUGGUGGGGUAAAGGCCUACCAAGGCGACGAUCAGUAGCGGGUCUGAGAGGAUGAUCCGCCACACUGGGACUGAGACACGGCCCAGACUCCUACGGGAGGCAGCAGUGGGGAAUUUUGGACAAUGGGCGCAAGCCUGAUCCAGCCAUGCCGCGUGUCUGAAGAAGGCCUUCGGGUUGUAAAGGACUUUUGUCAGGGAAGAAAAGGCUGUUGCUAAUAUCGACAGCUGAUGACGGUACCUGAAGAAUAAGCACCGGCUAACUACGUGCCAGCAGCCGCGGUAAUACGUAGGGUGCGAGCGUUAAUCGGAAUUACUGGGCGUAAAGCGAGCGCAGACGGUUACUUAAGCAGGAUGUGAAAUCCCCGGGCUCAACCCGGGAACUGCGUUCUGAACUGGGUAACUAGAGUGUGUCAGAGGGAGGUAGAAUUCCACGUGUAGCAGUGAAAUGCGUAGAGAUGUGGAGGAAUACCGAUGGCGAAGGCAGCCUCCUGGGAUAACACUGACGUUCAUGCUCGAAAGCGUGGGUAGCAAACAGGAUUAGAUACCCUGGUAGUCCACGCCCUAAACGAUGUCAAUUAGCUGUUGGGCAACUUGAUUGCUUAGUAGCGUAGCUAACGCGUGAAAUUGACCGCCUGGGGAGUACGGUCGCAAGAUUAAAACUCAAAGGAAUUGACGGGGACCCGCACAAGCGGUGGAUGAUGUGGAUUAAUUCGAUGCAACGCGAAGAACCUUACCUGGUCUUGACAUGUACGGAAUCCUCCAGAGACGGAGGAGUGCCUUCGGGAGCCGUAACACAGGUGCUGCAUGGCUGUCGUCAGCUCGUGUCGUGAGAUGUUGGGUUAAGUCCCGCAACGAGCGCAACCCUUGUCAUUAGUUGCCAUCAUUUAGUUGGGCACUCUAAUGAGACUGCCGGUGACAAGCCGGAGGAAGGUGGGGAUGACGUCAAGUCCUCAUGGCCCUUAUGACCAGGGCUUCACACGUCAUACAAUGGUCGGUACAGAGGGUAGCCAAGCCGCGAGGUGGAGCCAAUCUCACAAAACCGAUCGUAGUCCGGAUUGCACUCUGCAACUCGAGUGCAUGAAGUCGGAAUCGCUAGUAAUCGCAGGUCAGCAUACUGCGGUGAAUACGUUCCCGGGUCUUGUACACACCGCCCGUCACACCAUGGGAGUGGGGGAUACCAGAAGUAGGUAGGGUAACCGCAAGGAGUCCGCUUACCACGGUAUGCUUCAUGACUGGGGUGAAGUCGUAACAAGGUAGCCGUAGGGGAACCUGCGGCUGGAUCACCU